UGGGGAAUAUUGGGCAAUGGGCGAAAGCCUGACCCAGCGACGCCGCGUGGGUGGUGAAGGCCUUCGGGUUGUAAAACCCUUUCGUGCGGAAAGAAUAGUCCUGUAGCGAAUAACUACGGGAUUUGACGGUACCGCAGGAAGAAGCACCGGCUAACUCCGUGCCAGCAGCCGCGGUAAUACGGAGGGUGCAAGCGUUGUUCGGAAUUAUUGGGCGUAAAGGGCGCGUAGGUGGUUGUGAUAGUCAGAUGUGAAAUCCUUCGGCUCAACCGAAGAACUGCAUCUGAAACUUCAUAGCUCGAGUACAGGAGAGGGAAACGGAAUUCCCGGUGCAGAGGUGAAAUUCGUAGAUAUCGGGAGGUACACCAGUGGCGAAGGCGGUUUCCUGGCCUGAUACUGACGCUGAGGCGCGAAAGCGUGGGGAGCAAACAG
rnacentral:rRNA from 1 species